GAGGAUGACGAAGAGCCAAGCACGAAAGCACACCACGUACGGAAGGAAGAAAAAAAAAAUGACCACUACUGCGAAAAGGGGUGCAAGCGAAAAUCGGGAUCCGCGGCUCUUCGUCGUCGUAACGCCUUGGCUUCGCGCUCCCUCACGGCGAGGUCGGCCGUCGAUGACGAGCUUUUCUCGAGCGAGUUCCCGACGAUCAGUGCUGAAGCUCAAGUCCUGAAUCAAGCUGAUAUUCUCGGGAAAUUCGCUUGCCUAAGGUGCGGUGCACCUUACAGCCAGGCUGCCACCAUCCAGCUUCUUUCUGCUCACGAAGUCGACCUGUCAGUGAUUAAGCAGCGUGCAAGUGGCAACUCCGACCGGCAUCGGAGUAUGCAACAAUGCACAAAGCACCACACUGCUGUUGCUGAC